rnacentral:tmRNA from 1 species
GAAGUUUCAAUGUGCUGGUUUCGGUGCGGCAACUCUGCCUUGCCGCCUCGAGUUUAUAUUUUUAAUUUAGUAAAUUGGUCCCCCGAGAGUUAUGCUUCAGGGGAGAUAUCGAUUUUUGGUGCUGCAAGAUUCACCGAAACCCUUCCUUUUCUGAGGCAUGUGAAAAAACGGAGAACAUAUAAGCCUGACAAUUCUCUAGGGUGCUAUUUGAUUUCCCUAAAUUGGGACCAUGCGGAACCUGCUCACCAUGUGCUCUAGCCCCGGCUGGCGAGACAGGUUGUGGAAAGCCUUUUUAAGAAUUCUAUUACUGGGCGUGAGGGAGUGUUCUAAAGGUGAUGAGGAGGCGGUAGACGGGUCAGGUCAGGGCAGUAAGUCAUCAAAGGGUAAAAGGAACAAGUCGGCACACAAACCCAGACGUAGGAAACGCGGCGGUAAGCCACAGGAUCCCAACCUAAACAAAUUUAAGACAGAAUAAUCCCAUGAUAAAGGGAAAUCACAUUCAGAAAAAGUACCAGUGACAAAUAUGCAAAUGUGGACAUGCUUAUAUUCUCCUGGCCAAAACCAGGAGCUACUACACUACCUCCUGUUAUCUGGUGGCAGUCAGUAUGGACUCUACAGGAGAGUUCUGUUGGAUCUGCCACCAGCCAGAGGGUCCCCUUAAAAGAUUCUGUGGCUGCAAGGGGUCCUGUGCCGUGUCUCAUCAAGACUGUCUACGUGGUUGGCUGGAGACGUCGCGUCGCCAGACGUGUGCGCUGUGUGGGACUCCAUAUUCCAUGAAAUGGAAAACUAAACCUUUGCGUGAGUGGACAUGGGGGGAAGAGGAGGUCCUGGCAGCGAUGGAGGCCUGUCUACCCCUUGUCCUGAUACCCUUGGCUGUGCUGAUGAUAGUGAUGGGGACGUGGUUGCUGGUAAAUCACAAUGGCUUCCUCAGUCCAAGAAUGCAAGUUGUCCUCGUGGUCAUCGUCCUCCUGGCCAUGAUUGUGUUCUCAGCCAGCGCCUCUUACGUGAUGGUGGAAGGGCCCGGGUGCCUAGAUACCUGUACUGCCAAAAACUCUACCGUGACUGUGAACUCCAUUGAUGAGGCGAUCGCGACCCAGCAGCCCACAAAGACUGACCUUGGAUUAGCCCGUGAGACCCUCUCCACCCGCUUCAGACGUGGCAAAUGCAGAUCCUGUUGUAGACUGGGGUGUGUGAGACUAUGUUGUGUGUAGGAGGUGUGGAAAUAAAAACCCUUUAAAAUUUCAU